rnacentral:misc_RNA from 1 species
GAAGACAUCAAUCUCCAUCCUAGAACGUUUUUAUUUUCUUCCCUUUUAAUUUCUUUUCUUUGGGAGAAAUACAUUUUUUUAUUGAAUGAUUUUGAGUUUUGAUUUAUUGAGUUUUAUUGUAGUUUUUGACAUUAUGAGUGGCUAAUUUCUUAAGCUAGGGAUUUAAUGCAACUUGACUUGAUUUAAUAUCUAAAUUUGAUCUAAUUGUCUCUACUUUGCUAAUAGUUGUUAUUUUUUAGUUUAAUGCUUUUAAGUAUCUUAGCUAAAUACUUGAAUGAUUUUAGAUUUAUA